UAGGGAAUCUUCGGCAAUGGACGAAAGUCUGACCGAGCAACGCCGCGUGAGUGAAGAAGGUUUUCGGAUCGUAAAACUCUGUUGUUAGAGAAGAACAAGGACGUUAGUAACUGAACGUCCCCUGACGGUAUCUAACCAGAAAGCCACGGCUAACUACGUGCCAGCAGCCGCGGUAAUACGUAGGUGGCAAGCGUUGUCCGGAUUUAUUGGGCGUAAAGCGAGCGCAGGCGGUUUCUUAAGUCUGAUGUGAAAGCCCCCGGCUCAACCGGGGAGGGUCAUUGGAAACUGGGGGACUUGAGUGCGGAAGAGGAGAGUGGAAUUCCAUGUGUAGCGGUGAAAUGCGUAGAUGUAUGGAGGAACACCGGUGGCGAGGGCGGCUCUCUGGUCUGUAACUGACGCUGAGGCUCGAAAGCGUGGGGAGCAAACAGG
rnacentral:rRNA from 1 species